GUAGGGAAUAUUGGGCAAUGGAUGCAAGUCUGACCCAGCCAUCCCGCGUGCCGGAAGAAGGCCCUCAGGGUUGUAAACGGCUUUUGACGGUGAAGAAUCGACAGGAUGCGUCCUGUUUUGACGGUAGCCGUUGAAUAAGCACCGGCUAACUCCGUGCCAGCAGCCGCGGUAAUACGGAGGAUGCGAGCGUUGUCCGGAUUUAUUGGGUUUAAAGGGUGCGUAGGCUGGAAGGUCAGUCAGCGGUGAAAAGCUGUCGCUUAACGAUAGUCUUGCCGCAGAUACGUCCUUUCUUGGAUGAGGAGGAGGCCACUGGAACGGAUGGUGUAGCGGUGAAAUGCAUAGAUAUCAUCCAGAACACCGAUUGCGAAGGCAGGUGGCUGUACCUUAAUCGACGCUGAUGCACGAAAGCAUGGGGAGCAAACAGGAUUAGAAACCCUAGUAGUCC
rnacentral:rRNA from 1 species